UUUCCGUAGGUGAACCUGCGGAAGGAUCAUUAAUGAAUUUAGAUUGAACCAUAGGCGAAAGCCAGUGGUUCUUCUUUCAUAUCCAUAACACCUGUGCACUGUUGGAUGCUUGCAUCCACUUUUAAACUAAACAUUAUUGUAACUUCUGAGUAAAACCAUAAAUAAAUCAAAACUUUCAACAACGGAUCUCUUGGUUCUG
rnacentral:misc_RNA from 1 species